rnacentral:rRNA from 1 species
GAUGAACGCUGGCGGCGUGCCUAAUACAUGCAAGUCGAGCGAAUGGAUUAAGAGCUUGCUCUUAUGAAGUUAGCGGCGGACGGGUGAGUAACACGUGGGUAACCUGCCCAUAAGACUGGGAUAACUCCGGGAAACCGGGGCUGAUACCGGAUAACAUUUUGAACCGCAUGGUUCGAAAUUGAAAGGCGGCUUCGGCUGUCACUUAUGGAUGGACCCGCGUCGCAUUAGCUAGUUGGUGAGGUAACGGCUCACAAAGGCAACGAUGCGUAGCCGACCUGAGAGGGUGAUCGGCCACACUGGGACUGAGACACGGCCCAGACUCCUACGGGAGGCAGCAGUAGGGAAUCUUCCGCAAUGGACGAAAGUCUGACGGAGCAACGCCGCGUGAGUGAUGAAGGCUUUCGGGUCGUAAAACUCUGUUGUUAGGGAAGAACAAGUGCUAGUUGAAUAAGCUGGCACCUUGACGGUACCUAACCAGAAAGCCACGGCCAACUACGUGCCAGCCGCCGCUGUAA